rnacentral:rRNA from 1 species
AAAGACGGUCUUGCUGUCACUUAUAGAUGGAUCCGCGCUGCAUUAGCUAGUUGGUAAGGUAACGGCUUACCAAGGCAACGAUGCAUAGCCGACCUGAGAGGGUGAUCGGCCACACUGGAACUGAGACACGGUCCAGACUCCUACGGGAGGCAGCAGUAGGGAAUCUUCCGCAAUGGGCGAAAGCCUGACGGAGCAACGCCGCGUGAGUGAUGAAGGUCUUCGGAUCGUAAAACUCUGUUAUUAGGGAAGAACAUAUGUGUAAGUAACUGUGCACAUCUUGACGGUACCUAAUCAGAAAGCCACGGCUAACUACGUGCCAGCAGCCGCGGUAAUACGUAGGUGGCAAGCGUUAUCCGGAAUUAUUGGGCGUAAAGCGCGCGUAGGCGGUUUUUUAAGUCUGAUGUGAAAGCCCACGGCUCAACCGUGGAGGGUCAUUGGAAACUGGAAAACUUGAGUGCAGAAGAGGAAAGUGGAAUUCCAUGUGUAGCGGUGAAAUGCGCAGAGAUAUGGAGGAACACCAGUGGCGAAGGCGACUUUCUGGUCUGUAACUGACGCUGAUGUGCGAAAGCGUGGGGAUCAAACAGGAUUAGAUACCCUGGUAGUCCACGCCGUAAACGAUGAGUGCUAAGUG